rnacentral:misc_RNA from 1 species
GAUGAAGAACGUAGCGAAAUGCGAUAAGUAGUGUGAAUUGCAGAAUUCAGUGAAUCAUCGAAUCUUUGAACGCACAUUGCGCCCCAUGGUAUUCCGUGGGGCAUGCCUGUUCGAGCGUCAUUUACCCCCUCAAGCUCCGCUUGGUGUUGGGCGUCUGUCCCGCUUCGCGCGCGGACUCGCCCCAAAGGUAUUGGCAGCGGUCGUGCCAGCUUCUCGCGCAGCACAUUGCGCUUCUCGAGGCACCGGUGGGCCCGCGUCCAUCAAGCUCACCCCCGCAGUUUGACCUCGGAUCAGGUAGGGAUACCCGCUGAACUUAAGCAUAUCAAUAAGCGGAGGA